CCUGGCUCCGUAUGAACGCUAGCUACAGGCUUAACACAUGCAAGUCGAGGGGCAGCAUCAUCAAAGCUUGCUUUGAUGGAUGGCGACCGGCGCACGGGUGAGUAACACGUAUCCAACCUGCCGACAACACUGGGAUAGCCUUUCGAAAGAAAGAUUAAUACCGGAUGGCAUAAUUAUUCCGCAUGGGAUAAUUAUUAAAGAAUUUCGGUUGUCGAUGGGGAUGCGUUCCAUUAGGCAGUUGGCGGGGUAACGGCCCACCAAACCUACGAUGGAUAGGGGUUCUGAGAGGAAGGUCCCCCACAUUGGAACUGAGACACGGUCCAAACUCCUACGGGAGGCAGCAGUGAGGAAUAUUGGUCAAUGGACGAGAGUCUGAACCAGCCAAGUAGCGUGAAGGAUGACUGCCCUAUGGGUUGUAAACUUCUUUUAUACGGGAAUAAAGUGAGCCACGUGUGGCUUUUUGUAUGUACCGUAUGAAUAAGGAUCGGCUAACUCCGUGCCAGCAGCCGCGGUAAUACGGAGGAUUCGAGCGUUAUCCGGAUUUAUUGGGUUUAAAGGGAGCGUAGGCGGGUUGUUAAGUCAGUUGUGAAAGUUUGCGGCUCAACCGUAAAAUUGCAGUUGAUACUGGCGACCUUGAGUGCAACAGAGGUAGGCGGAAUUCGUGGUGUAGCGGUGAAAUGCUUAGAUAUCACGAAGAACUCCGAUUGCGAAGGCAGCUUACUGGAUUGUAACUGACGCUGAUGCUCGAAAGUGUGGGUAUCAAACAGGAUUAGAUACCCUGGUAGUCCACACAGUAAACGAUGAAUACUCGCUGUUGGCGAUAUACAGUCAGCGGCCAAGCGAAAGCAUUAAGUAUUCCACCUGGGGAGUACGCCGGCAACGGUGAAACUCAAAGGAAUUGACGGGGGCCCGCACAAGCGGAGGAACAUGUGGUUUAAUUCGAUGAUACGCGAGGAACCUUACCCGGGCUUAAAUUGCAACUGACGGAACCGGAAACGGUUCUUUCUUCGGACAGUUGUGAAGGUGCUGCAUGGUUGUCGUCAGCUCGUGCCGUGAGGUGUCGGCUUAAGUGCCAUAACGAGCGCAACCCUUACGGGUAGUUACCAUCAGGUUAUGCUGGGGACUCUACCCGGACUGCCGUCGUAAGAUGUGAGGAAGGUGGGGAUGACGUCAAAUCAGCACGGCCCUUACGUCCGGGGCUACACACGUGUUACAAUGGGGGGUACAGAAGGCAGCUACACGGCGACGUGGUGCUAAUCCCAAAAGCCUCUCUCAGUUCGGAUUGGAGUCUGCAACCCGACUCCAUGAAGCUGGAUUCGCUAGUAAUCGCGCAUCAGCCACGGCGCGGUGAAUACGUUCCCGGGCCUUGUACACACCGCCCG
rnacentral:rRNA from 1 species